rnacentral:rRNA from 1 species
CCUACGGGAGGCAGCAGUAGGGAAUCUUUCACUAUGGGCGAAAGCCUGAUGGAGCAACGCCGCGUGCAGGAUGAAGGCCUUCGGGUUGUGAACUGCUUUUAUAAGCGAGAAAUAUGAUGGUAACUUAUGAAUAAGGAUCGGCUAACUACGUGCCAGCAGCCGCGGUCAUACGUAGGAUCCGAGCAUUAUCCGGAGUGACUGGGUGUAAAGAGUUGCGUAGGUGGCAUAAUAAGUAGCUAGUGAAAUCUGGUGGCUCAACCAUUCAGACUAUUAGCUAAACUGUUAAGCUCGAGACCGUUAGGGGUAACUGGAAUUUCUAGUGUAGGAAUGAAAUCCGUAGAUAUUAGAAGGAACACCAAUAGCGUAGGCAGGUUGCUGGGACGGUUCUGACACUAAGGCACGAAAGCGUAGGGAGCAAACGGGAUUAGAUACCCGAGUAGUC